rnacentral:lncRNA from 1 species
ACCCCCACCUAGCUCCCUUUUGGCAGCAACACAAUUUAUUUAGAAAGUAGCAGAGUUCAUUUCUUUACAUCUUCAUCACGUUUGGUAAACACCAAAAAUUGUAAGUACGAAAAUAUAAGACUUGCGCAAUCAGGUCCAUUAUGACCAAAUUUUUGUUGCAGUCCUAAACAAUUCUAAUGCAAAAUUUUCCGGUUUUACCAUACUAUAUAUCUAUCCGAUUCUUGUUUAUUGCAGAGGCGAGGUACUACGCGAACCAAU